UUUCAAAAAUAACCUUUUGUUC
rnacentral:miRNA from 1 species